UUGAAAUCCUGCGGGAAUUGUAAUUUGAAGGUUUCGUGGUCUGAGUCGGCCGCGCCCAAGUCCAUUGGAACAUGGCGCCUGGGAGGGUGAGAGCCCCGUAUGGCGCACGCCGACUCUUUGCACCGCGGCUCCGACGAGUCGAGUUGUUUGGGAAUGCAGCUCUAAGUGGGUGGUAAAUUCCAUCUAAAGCUAAAUAUUGGCGAGAGACCGAUAGCGAACAAGUACAGUGAUGGAAAGAUGAAAAGCACUUUGAAAAGAGAGUGGAAACAGCACGUGAAAUUGUUGAAAGGGAA
rnacentral:rRNA from 1 species